GCACAAGCGGAGGAACAUUGUGGUUUAAUUCGAUGGUACGCGAGGAACCUUUACCUGGGCUUAAAUGUAGAGUGCAUUUUUUAGAGAUAGAAAUUCCCUUCGGGGCUUUCUGCAAGGUGCUGCAUGGUUGUCGUCAGCUCGUGCCGUGAGGUGUCGGGUUAAGUCCCAUAACGAGCGCAACCCUUAUCGUUAGUUGCCAUCUGGUAAUGCAGGGGACUCUAGCGAAACUGCCACCGUAAGGUGAGAGGAAGGUGGGGAUGACGUCAAAUCAGCACGGCCCUUAUGUCCAGGGCUACACACGUGUUACAAUGGUCGGUACAGAGGGCAGCUACCUGGUGACAGGAUGCUAAUCUCGAAAACCGAUCUCAGUUCGGAUCGAAGUCUGCAACUCGACUUCGUGAAGCUGGAUUCGCUAGCAAUCGCGCAUCAGCCAUGGCGCGGUGAAUACGUUCCCGGGCCUU
rnacentral:rRNA from 1 species